rnacentral:rRNA from 1 species
UGGGGAAUAUUGGACAAUGGGCGAAAGCCUGAUCCAGCCAUGCCGCGUGUGUGAAGAAGGUCUUCGGAUUGUAAAGCACUUUAAGUUGGGAGGAAGGGUUGUAGAUUAAUACUCUGCAAUUUUGACGUUACCGACAGAAUAAGCACCGGCUAACUCUGUGCCAGCAGCCGCGGUAAUACAGAGGGUGCAAGCGUUAAUCGGAAUUACUGGGCGUAAAGCGCGCGUAGGUGGUUUGUUAAGUUGGAUGUGAAAUCCCCGGGCUCAACCUGGGAACUGCAUUCAAAACUGACUGACUAGAGUAUGGUAGAGGGUGGUGGAAUUUCCUGUGUAGCGGUGAAAUGCGUAGAUAUAGGAAGGAACACCAGUGGCGAAGGCGACCACCUGGACUAAUACUGACACUGAGGUGCGAAAGCGUGGGGAGCAAACAGGAUUAGAUACCCAAGUAGUCCCUGAGCGGGCUGGCAAGGCGCAU